ACUACGGGAGGCAGCAGUGGGGGAUAUUGCACAAUGGGGGCAACCCUGAUGCAGCGACGCCGCGUGGGCGAAGAAGUAUUUCGGUAUGUAAAGCCCUAUCAGCAGGGAAGAAGAAAUCACGGUACCUGACUAUGAAACACCGGCUAAAUACGUGCCAGCAGCCGCGGUAAUACGGAUGGUGCAGGCGUUAUCCGGAUUUACUGGGGGUAACGGGUGCGCAGGGGGCACGGCAAGCCUGAUGGGAAAGCCCGCGGCCCACCCGCGGGACUGCAUUGGGAACUACCGGGCGGGAGGGCCGGAGAGGUAGGCGGAAUGCCUAGUGUAGCGGUGAAAUGCGUAGAUAUUAGGAGGAACACCAGUGGCGAAGGCGGCCUACUGGACGGUGACUGACGCUGAGGCUCGAAAGCGUGGGGAGCAAACAGGAUUAGAUACCCCAGUAGUC
rnacentral:rRNA from 1 species